rnacentral:rRNA from 1 species
CCUACGGGAGGCAGCAGUGAGGAAUAUUGGACAAUGGGCGCAAGCCUGAUCCAGCCAUGCCGCGUGCAGGAAGACGGUCCUAUGGAUUGUAAACUGCUUUUGUACGGGAAGAAACACUCCUUCGUGAAGGAGCUUGACGGUACCGUAAGAAUAAGGAUCGGCUAACUCCGUGCCAGCAGCCGCGGUAAUACGGAGGAUCCAAGCGUUAUCCGGAAUCAUUGGGUUUAAAGGGUCCGUAGGCGGUUUAGUAAGUCAGUGGUGAAAGCCCAUCGCUCAACGGUGGAACGGCCAUUGAUACUGCUAGACUUGAAUUAUUAGGAAGUAACUAGAAUAUGUAGUGUAGCGGUGAAAUGCUUAGAGAUUACAUGGAAUACCAAUUGCGAAGGCAGGUUACUACUAAUGGAUUGACGCUGAUGGACGAAAGCGUGGGUAGCGAACAGGAUUAGAUACCCUGGUAGUCCACGCCGUAAACGAUGGAUACUAGCUGUUGGGGGCAACUUCAGUGGUGUAGACGAAGUAGUAGUAAGUAGUACCGACCGUACGGGUAGGUACGGUUCGUCGAAGUAAGUAGUAAACGUUAAAGUUAAGUAAGUUAGUUACGGUACGUUGAGAGUGCGACGGACGACGACGAGGGAGGAGG